UUUGGGGUGUUACACCGUCCCUCGACUUGGUGAAAUUUGCUUUCAUUGGGCUCUUUCGUCCACUCGGUCCAAUCGUUCAUGCAAUUUGUCAAGUUUAGAUUUCACCAUUCUAUGCACAUAUUGGAAUUCUGAUUCUAAAAACUCUUCUCAAAACAUAAUUUUAUUGCUGAAAAGAAAAGUGAUUAAAAAAUAAAUAAAUAAAUACCUCACCACAAAACCUCACGUUUCACUCACAAAAAAAAAAAAUUGGAUGGCACUCACACUCGUGUUUGCACUAGUUAAAUGGUUUUAUUUUCUACACGCAAAUGCUCUCACAGCACUUGUGCCUUUUAUUGCUCGCUUCACCUCU
rnacentral:lncRNA from 1 species